AGAACGAACGCUGGCGGCAGGCUUAACACAUGCAAGUCGAACGCGUGUAGCAAUACACGAGUGGCGCACGGGUGAGUAACGCGUGGAUAUCUGCCUUUUGGUUCGGAAUAACCCCGGGAAACUGGGGCUAAUACCGGAUGGUUCCUACGGGAUAAAGAUUUAUCGCCAAAAGAUGAGUCCGCGUACGAUUAGCUAGUUGGUGAGGUAAUGGCUCACCAAGGCGACGAUCGUUAGCUGGUCUGAGAGGACGAUCAGCCACACUGGGACUGAGACACGGCCCAGACUCCUACGGGAGGCAGCAGUGGGGAAUAUUGGACAAUGGGGGCAACCCUGAUCCAGCCAUGCCGCGUGAGUGAUGAAGGCCUUCGGGUUGUAAAGCUCGUUUUGGCGGGGACGAUGAUGACGGUACCGCAGAAUAAGCCCCGGCUAACUUCGUGCCAGCAGCCGC
rnacentral:rRNA from 1 species